CCUACGGGUGGCAGCAGUAGGGAAUAUUGCUCAAUGGGGGAAACCCUGACGCAGCAACGCCGCGUGAAGGAUGAAGGUUUUCGGAUUGUAAACUCCUUUUGUUAGAGAAGAUAAUGACGGUAUCUCACGAAUAAGCACCGGCUAACUCCGUGCCAGCAGCCGCGGUAAUACGGAGGGGGAAAGCGUUACUCUGCAUCACUGGGCGGAAUGAGCGCGUAGGCGGGAUAGCAAGUCAGAUGUGAAAUCCUAGGGCUUAACCAUAGAACUGCAUUUGAAACUGUUAUUCUAGAGUAUGGGAGAGGUAGGUGGAAUUCUUGGUGUAGCGGUAAAAUGCGUAGAGAUCAAGAGGAAUACUCAUUGCGAAGGCGACCUGCUAGAACAUAACUGACGCUGAUGCGCGAAAGCGUGGGGAGCAAACAGGAUUAGAUACCCCUGUAGUC
rnacentral:rRNA from 1 species